rnacentral:rRNA from 1 species
AUUGAACGCUGGCGGCAUGCUUUACACAUGCAAGUCGAACGGUAACAGGCCUUCGGGUGCUGACGAGUGGCGAACGGGUGAGUAAUGCAUCGGAACGUGCCCAGAGGUGGGGGAUAACGCAGCGAAAGCUGUGCUAAUACCGCAUGUGAUCUGAGGAUGAAAGCGGGGGACCAGGCAGCAAUGUUUGGCCUCGCGCCUUUCGAGCGGCCGAUGUCAGAUUAGGUAGUUGGUGGGGUAAAGGCCUACCAAGCCGACGAUCUGUAGCUGGUCUGAGAGGACGACCAGGCACACUGGGACUGAGACACGGCCCAGACUCCUACGGGAGGCAGCAGUGGGGAAUUUUGGACAAUGGGCGCAAGCCUGAUCCAGCAAUGCCGCGUGCGGGAAGAAGGCCUUCGGGUUGUAAACCGCUUUUGUACGGAACGAAAAGGAUCUGGCUAAUACCUGGGGCUGAUGACGGUACCGUAAGAAUAAGCACCGGCUAACUACGUG